AGUGUGUGUUUCAGAAGUCCCGGCCCCAGGCAGCUCUCCUGAACAGAGCCACUGGAACUCAGGAGGGUCAGGACCACAGCCCAAACAACUGCGACCGAAAACACCCUACAGGGCUUGAGAACUAAAAAAUAAGGAGGGAUCUGGGCAGCCGAGCUGCCUCCUAAAGAAGCCACGUCAUAGAGAAAACUGCUUGCUCUAUCCAUGAGACGGAGGCGGCCGGGGUGUCCUGCCAGCAGACACGGGUCUGUCCAUCACCGGCCACCACGCUGCCUCUGUCCUUCACUCCCAUUUAAGGGAAAACGAUAUCUCUUCAUCUUUCUGCCCUGGACAUUGGAAAUCAGCGGUGAGAACAGUGCUCUUGCUACAAAAUGCUCAGGUUCUAGAAUGCUCCCAUCUUUCCUUCCAUUCCACAUGGAGUUUAUCCAAAGCACAAAGGCCAGUCACGGCACUGACAUCCGUGGUGCCCGCUCACCGGGGAGUGGGAAGCACAAGCCUGUCCUCAGAGGACCGUGACUGUGAGCCCGCAGCUGCUUGUGGGUGGGGCCAGCCCGCAGCUCCUCCUGGAGGCCUCGGGCUUCUUGCUGCUGCAUUUCUGUGACAUGUGGAGGGAGGAUCGUUUUGACACCUGCCUGGGAAGUUUCAAAGGAGAUGGCCUCUGGGCAGGGGUUUUAAACUGAAGGGCACCACACAGAUCCAGAUGUGAACUGUGGCUGUUGUUUGCAAUUGAAGCAGAGAUGCAGAGGAUGGAACAGGAGUGCUGGCCAUGCUGCUCUAUGGCCUUGGCCCAGCCAAGACCUGCAGUCAAUGGGGCUACGGGACCCCCGCUACACAGGGACCUGGGAACCACCUUUGCCGCGGUUGACCGCUGGGCCCGCCAUGCACCGCCCACACCUGGCUGUGCCUGGAGACUGAGAGCAGGGGGUGACGGUGGGCCUGGAAGAGUCUCUCCCUUUUGCAAACGCCAGCCACAGAGGUUUAUUUUUCUCCCUGAGAGAAGGAAGAGUGAAGGCUGAGACUGAGACAGAAGGACAGAAGGAGAAGACUUAGAAGCCAGUGAGCCCGGAACCACGAGACGCGCUCUGAGGACACGGGGCCUCGGGGAAACCGGGCACGGGCAGGGGUUGGUCUUGGCUUCCCCGCAACAUUGCCGCGAGCUCGGGUGCCGUCUCCACUCGCAGGCUGGCCUGUCCUCUGCAGCCACGAGCUCAGGCACCGUCUCCGUUCAUAGGCCAGCCUGUUCUCUGCAGCCUGAGGUCCCUGUGGUGCCAACAUCCAGAUGCUGAGAUAAUUCUGCCAGGGUGUUGGCUGAUCGGUGAUUGGUGGUUGGCUGUUCCGUGAGUUCUGCAUUGAUCUUGCUGGCUGAGCGUCCAAUGCGGAGGGGCAGGUGCUGUUAGGGUCUCCACUCCCAUCCCUCUCCCCAGGACUCAUCACCCACUGCAACCGUAAGCUGCUAGGGGCUCACAGCCGUGAGUCUUUGGGACGGGUGGUCCCACCUGGCAUGUAGCUCAGGCUCCUAGCCCCAGGACCCUGCCGCUGCUCCCCUCCCGCCCACAUCUUGGCUUAGCCGUCUUCCCUGGCUGCCAGCCCCUUCCCCUGGUCUUAGUUGGCUUGAGCCACUAAACUGAAAUAGCACACCCUGAGGCCUUCAACAGCAGACCUGAUUUCUCACCAUCUGGAGGCUGGAGGUCCAGGAUCCAGGCCCCCAAGGCUGCUUUCUCCCCCACUCCCCCACCCACCUUCCAGGACACGCAGACUCCACCCUCUUGCUGCCCUGUCUCAGGGCUGUCCCUCUGGGCAAGCAGGCCCCUGGCAUCCCCGUGUGUCUUCUCCUCCUGUUCUUAUAAGGACACCAGUCAUACUGGAUCUGGGCCCACCCUAGUGACCUCAUUUACCUUAAUCACCUCUGAAAGACCUUGUCUCAAAAACAGCCACAUUCUGGGGCACUGAGGGUUAGGGCUUUAACAUGGGAAUUUGAGGGAUGCAAUUCACCCCAUAAAACCCAGACCAUUCCCCCAGUAAAUCACUUUCACAAGAGCUCUUCUCUCAGGCUUUGCUUCUGGGGGAUCCCCCUUGAGAUGGAUCCAUCUAGCUUCCUGCUUCUCAAAGAACAGAGGGGAGAGCUCUGGUGCGAAGGGAACGGGUGGCCUCGGGGACCUGCGGAUAAGCUGCUGGCACUGCCAGGGGACAGGCUGAGCUGAAAGCCAGGAGGAGGGCGGCGAGGCCCGGGGCCGGACCUCAUUCUUCUGAGUGUUAUAAAAUCUGGCUUUGCUCAGA
rnacentral:lncRNA from 1 species